rnacentral:misc_RNA from 1 species
CUUGUGUCUUUUUCAACCACCGGAUAUGGUGACAUUACUCUUGCGUUGUUCCGGAAUUUUGUGUUAUGAUUAAAUAUACAAUUUUUUUGGCACGUAGCGAGAAAUUUAACUAUUAACUUCAUAAUAAAAUAUAUUUCAAGGUAUUUACAUCAAUUUCAUUAUUUGUCCAAUACAAAAUGGGUGCAGUGGAAGCGCAUAUGGAGUUUCUCAUGCCUCCCGGUGUUAAAUUAUCAUUUCACAAGGUAUUGUAAUAGCUUUUGCCUGUUUAAAUAGAUGGCUCGUGGACAACAAAAGAUUCAGUCGCAACAAAAGGCUGCUAAGAAGGCCCAAGAUUUGAAGAAACGUCAAAAUCACGAUCAAAAAGCAGCAGCUCAAAAAGCUUUAACUCACGUUUGUAGCGUUUGUAAGGCCCAAAUGCCUGAUCCUAAAACCUACAAACAACAUUUCGAGAAUAAACAUCCCAAGUCUGCUUUGCCGGAAGAAUUAAAGGAGGUUUAGCUUCGAAGAAAAAUUAUUGAAGUCAUAGCAAGCUUCCACAUCAGCAUUGAAGUCAUUUUGUUUGAGACCCAUGAACAUAUGUCAUAUGUCACUCAACUAAUCUUAUUCUGUUUAUCAUAGUAUAUACGUAUAUCCAAUUUCAGUUAUCCCGUUGUCAAUUUACAGUUUGAAAGAAUCAUAAUUUUCUAUUUCAUUCAUAACUGCAAAGUGAUAUACAAAUUGUUAACUAUUUUUUCUUUUGCCUACUCAAGUUUCUUAGAAUUAUCGUCCAUAUAAUCAUUCACUUUAAUCUAUUUUUUUGGAAAUUUUCCUGUCAUUCACCUCCUAUAGGAACUAAGUUGCCAUCAAAACAAAGUUUCAAGGGAAAAUAAAUGAGAUAUAUUUUCCUUAUUCGCUUUUCCGUAAAAAAUAAUUCCGACCUAUUUAACCCAUUUCGAGCAAAUAUUCCCACUGUGAAAAGUAGCGAACGAAAGGAAGGGGAAUAACAGCGUGCGUAAAGUAUUUUUUUGUAGACGUCGUCUAAUUUUAACAAAUAUGAAGAGUGUACAGGAAAAAACAUUCUAUUCGUAUUUUUCUUAAUAUUCGUACGUGAGAUACUUUUUACGGUAGAAAAUAGUAAUAAUGUAAUAGGUCUUGUAUUUUCUGCUUGUUAACUUAUCAUUAGUUUUUCGAGGUGUAAAGUAAGAAGAGUCUCAUAUAGAUAUAUACAGUAUACAGUAUAUCAAUUAGUACAUAACUAUAGGUAUAUUCAGUAUAUAAAUUUAUAUAUACUGUAUACUGUAUAAAGUAUAUGUAAUUAAUAGUCUUCUCUACAUGUUUAAUAGUGCAGGCGUAUAAAAUUAAUACCACAUUUACGCUGCCUAAUAUUUUCCACUGGAAUUUUUUAUAUCUCGUUCAGAAUUCAAAUGUAGGAGAAAAUUGUUAAUAAUUUACUAUAAGCAUAUAUACAUAUAUUGUAUAGGCAGUAUUUCGUCAAGUACAAUAUAAAAGGGUAUUCUAUUUAAUGAUCAAUUUUUACAUUAAAAGCUAUCUUCUCCCUUUUAUUGUUUUUUCCUCCUUUUUUCUAUAUUCUGUGUUUUCAUUAAAAGUUAAUGAUAAGUUUUUAUGCGGGAUUGUUUCUGCAAUGGUUUCUGAAUUCUAUUACCUAUGGUUGGAAUUUCUUAUUCUCUUAUCCUAGUAAACUGGUAGAAAUUUAAAUUUCUUAGAUUUUAUUAAUUGCACUUGACAAUACCGCUAAUUAAUCUAUUAGAAAAUUAAUGUCAAUGAAUGAAAGCAGAUAAAACUUAUUAUUGUCUUAGGAUAAUGUGAAGGUUGUAAUUCAGGAAGAAAUAUUGCAAUUUUCCUGGAAUUGCUGUUGAUAGUUCUAUAGGUAAUUCGUAUUUAGGAACGAAAUGAUAAAGGGUUAUGGUUGUUUUACACUCUCUUGUUCGCC